AUACGGAGGGUGCAAGCGUUAUCCGGAAUCAUUGGGUUUAAAGGGUCCGUAGGCGGAUUAUUAAGUCAGAGGUGAAAUCCCACAGCUUAACUGUGGAACUGCCUUUGAUACUGGUAGUCUUGAGUUAUAUGGAAGUAGAUAGAAUGUGUAGUGUAGCGGUGAAAUGCAUAGAUAUUACACAGAAUACCGAUUGCGAAGGCAGUCUACUACGUAUAUACUGACGCUAAUGGACGAAAGCGUGGGGAGCAAACAGAAUUAGAUACCCCGGUAGUCC
rnacentral:rRNA from 1 species